GGGACAGCCUGGGGACAUUGGGACACUGGAGACAUGCUGCACGCCAGGGCCACCGGGCUCUUCAUCCAGCAGGACGCCCCCAAGGAGCCACCACGGGGGGGGGACAGCGGCCAGUGACUGUCACCCGUGUCACCUCCUGUGCCAGCCGUGCCACCCUCGGUGCCCUCCCUGUCCCCCAGCGUCACCCUGGCUCUCCUUCAACCAUCCCCGGGUGUCCCCAUGUCCCCCCCUGUGUCCCCCAAAGCCAUCCCCAUCACCCCAAAUGUCCCCCCCCAGUGUCCCCAAGUGUCCCCGGGGCUGUCCCCGUGCCCAUCACAGCCGCUGCCACCA